AUGACUCUCGGCAACGGAUAUCUCGGCUCUCGCAUCGAUGGAGAACGUAGCGAAAUGCGAUACUUGGUGUGAAUUGCAGAAUCCCGUGAACCAUCGAGUUUUUGAACGCAAGUUGCGCCCGAAGCCGUUAGGCUAAGGGCACGUUUGCCUGGGCGUCGUA
rnacentral:rRNA from 1 species